GGCAGAAUUCAGGGAUCGGGUCGGGCUUCUCCUACCGGGCCGGCAACAGGAGUUGAUCACUAGAGUGGCCCAUGCCUCAAGAGGGCCCACCAUCCUAGUACUCAUGUGUGGCGGUCCUGUUGAUGUCACCUUCGCGCAAAACGACCCCAAGAUAUCUGCCAUCCUCUGGGUUGGGUACCCCGGUCAGGCCGGGGGUGCUGCCAUCGCUGACGUUAUAUUUGGUGCAUUCAAUCCGGGUGGCAAGCUACCUGUUACAUGGUACCCCCAAGACUACACUCGAAAAGUAUCCAUGACCGACAUGGCGAUGCGAGCUAAUCCGGCCCGUGGGUACCCAGGCCGGACCUACCGGUUCUACACUGGCCCAGUCGUGUACCCCUUCGGGCACGGACUUAGCUACACCCGCUUCACUCAAUCCCUCGGUCACGCUCCCGUUGAGCUCUCUAUCCCGCUCGAUGGUCGUCGGGUUGUUAACUCCACGUUGUUGGGACGAGCGGUUAGGGUCACCCAUACAAAGUGUGACAGCCUAUCCCUACCACUCCACGUGGACGUCAC
rnacentral:misc_RNA from 1 species